rnacentral:rRNA from 1 species
GAUGAACGCUGGCGGCGUGCUUAACACAUGCAAGUCGAACGGUGAACGAGGGAGCUUGCUCCCUCCGGAUCAGUGGCGAACGGGUGAGUAACACGUGAGCAAUCUGCCCUGGACUCUGGGAUAAGCGUUGGAAACGACGUCUAAUACCGGAUACGAGGCGUGGGGGCAUCCCCAACGCCUGGAAAGAACUUCGGUCUAGGAUGAGCUCGCGGCCUAUCAGCUAGUUGGUGAGGUAACGGCUCACCAAGGCGACGACGGGUAGCCGGCCUGAGGGGGUGACCGGCCACACUGGGACUGAGACACGGCCCAGACUCCUACGGGAGGCAGCAGUGGGGAAUAUUGCACAAUGGGCGCAAGCCUGAUGCAGCAACGCCGCGUGAGGGACGACGGCCUUCGGGUUGUAAACCUCUUUUAGCAGGGAAGAAGCGAAAGUGACGGUACCUGCAGAAAAAGCACCGGCUAACUACGUGCCAGCCGCCGCGGUAAGAC